GAUGUUGAGUUACAAAGGUAUAAGAUAGCAGAAACAGUUGGGAAGCUGUUCCAAAGAGGGUGACAGGCCCGUAUGCGAAAUCUUGUACUCUCUAAUCAGGAUCCUGAGUACGGCCCAGCACGUGAAAUUGGGUCGGAAUCUGGGAGGACCAUCUCCCAAGGCUAAAUACUAACUAGUGACCGAUAGCGAACAAGUACCGUGAGGGAAAGGUGAAAAGAACCCCGGAAGGGGAGUGAAAUAGUUCUUGAAACCGUGUGCUUACAAGAAGUUCGAGGCCGUUAAUGGCUGAGAGCGUGCUUUUUGUAGAAUGAACCGGAGAGUUACGAUUGCGUGCAAGGUUAAGGUGCAAAGACUGGAGCCGUAGCGAAAGCGAGUCUUAAUAGGGCGAAUCAGUACGUAGUUGUAGACCCGAAACCGAGUGACCUAUCCAUGGUCAGGUUGAAGGUGGGGUAAUACCUACUGGAG
rnacentral:rRNA from 1 species